rnacentral:lncRNA from 1 species
ACCACUACUAUCAUAGUCCAUACUCCUCAUUGUGUGGUCUCCCACUUGACAGUUAGUAAGCACUCACCAACUGCAAAACCAACAGUUCCUACAUAAUAUUAGCAAAAGUAAAGACAAAAAGAAUGCCUUAAGUGCAUUCAUAGAGGAACCAUUGACAGUCAUGAAGAAACACACAGCUAAUGUAAUCGAAAUGCAAAAUAACAGCAUCAAUAUCUAGCCUUGACCCCCAAAAUGUCUCACGACAAACUUGAGCAAUCUCAUCACUAGUCAAAUAGCGGGAAACAAAACCAAACUGGAGAAUCCUUCUCCCAGAAGUUCAAAGCUUCAUUUCUAUUCCAACAGCAUUCUUCAAUUCCUUCACCAGUAACAAUGGGAUAGCUGCAGCUACCAAACUUAAGUGUUUCCACUAUCAAAACCCUAGAAGAAGCUUGGCUGUCGAGAAAUCAGCAAAAUCUCCAAGUAGAAGCAAGUAACCAUACUUGAAAAGAGAGAUUACCCACCAAAAUUUCUACCUCCAGCCUACUCAAGAUAGCUCAAGAAUGACGAAUUGUGGCUGUAACAAUCCCAGGUAGAAAAUGUAGGAACAUCCAGCUCCUCGAGAAAUCCAGCAAAGAUCAGAACCCAAAGAAAAGAUCCCUCAGACAACUUAACACUUUUCGCAAAU